GGCUCCAGCAGUCGAAUUUCUAUGGCGACCGAUUAUCUCUGGUGUCUUCCGUACCUCUCCAAGCCAUCAGCCUUCUACAAGUGCCAACCGAACUCCUCCAGUGGAUGCACUCCCAUAACGCCUUCUGAACUCCUCUGGUGGACAAACUCCCACAAUGCCUUUCGGACUCUUCUAUCGGACAAUGUUCUAUAGCACUUUCUGAAUUUCGGAUGGACUUCUCUAGCAAUCAGACUCCAGUCAGACUUCUUCAACAGAGAGUCUCCACCC
rnacentral:lncRNA from 1 species